CCUACGGGAGGCAGCAGUGGGGAAUAUUGGGCAAUGGGCGAAAGCCUGACCCAGCAACGCCGCGUGAAGGAAGAAGGCUUUCGGGUUGUAAACUUCUUUUGACAGGGAAGAGCAGAAGACGGUACCUGUCGAAUAAGCCACGGCUAACUACGUGCCAGCAGCCGCGGUAAUACGUAGGUGGCAAGCGUUGUCCGGAUUUACUGGGUGGAAAGGGCGUGUAGCCGGGCUGACAAGUCAGAUGUGAAAUCCGGGGGCUCAACCCCUGAACUGCAUUUGAAACUGUUGGUCUUGAGUAUCGGAGAGGCAGGCGGAAUUCCUAGUGUAGCGGUGAAAUGCGUAGAUAUUAGGAGGAACACCAGUGGCGAAGGCGGCCUGCUGGACGACAACUGACGGUGAGGCGCGAAAGCGUGGGGAGCAAACAGAAUUAGAUACCCCUGUAGUC
rnacentral:rRNA from 1 species